rnacentral:rRNA from 1 species
AUGAACGCUGGCGGCGUGCCUAAUACCUGCCAGUCGAGCGCACAGACGAGGAGCUUGCUCCUCUGACGUUAGCGGCGGACGGGUGAGUAACACGUGGAUAACCUACCUAUAAGACUGGGAUAACUUCGGGAAACCGGAGCUAAUACCGGAUAAUAUAUUGAACCGCAUGGUUCAAUAGUGAAAGACGGUUUUGCUGUCACUUAUAGAUGGAUCCGCGCCGCAUUAGCUAGUUGGUAAGGUAACGGCUUACCAAGGCAACGAUGCGUAGCCGACCUGAGAGGGUGAUCGGCCACACUGGAACUGAGACACGGUCCAGACUCCUACGGGAGGCAGCAGUAGGGAAUCUUCCGCAAUGGGCGAAAGCUUGACGGAGCAACGCCGCGUGAGUGAUGAAGGUCUUCGGAUCGUAAAACUCUGUUAUUAGGGAAGAACAAAUGUGUAAGUAACUAUGCACGUCUUGACGGUACCUAAUCAGAAAGCCACGGCUAACUACGUG